AGAAGGUCAAAGAGGUGAAUUUUUCAUGCAUUGCCUCUGAUUGUUCCUUGUUAUUUUUUUUCUCCCCAAUUUGUGGAAAGCUGCACCCUUCUCCCUCCUGUGUUUGUGCAAAUGAAGGUCUCAUGCAUGCUUAGGUGGAUAACUAAUCUAUAGAUGUACCAUACAUGUGUAAUUAUUUUUAUUUUCUAGAUAUUAUGUGGAGUUGGCUACAUUUGAUUCCGAUUAUAAAAAGUGCAGAGGAAUUCUGGUAUUUGCAUGUCCAACUAAUGUGCUGUCUCUCUCUAAAAAUGGAGGAUUUUUUUAAUAAAAAUUGAUUUUUUU
rnacentral:misc_RNA from 1 species